rnacentral:rRNA from 1 species
UACGUAGGGUGCUAGCGUUGUCCGGAAUCAUUGGGCGUAAAGAGCGUGUAGGCGGCCCGGUAAGUCCGCUGUGAAAGUCGGGGGCUCAACCCUCGAAUGCCGGUGGAUACUGUCGGGCUAGAGUGCAGAAGAGGCGAGUGGAAUUCCUGGUGUAGCGGUGAAAUGCGCAGAUAUCAGGAGGAACACCGAUUGCGAAGGCAGCUCGCUGGGACGUAACUGACGCUGAGACGCGAAAGCGUGGGGAGCAAACAGG